rnacentral:rRNA from 1 species
UACGGAGGGAGCUAGCGUUGUUCGGAAUUACUGGGCGUAAAGCGCACGUAGGCGGCUUUGUAAGUUAGAGGUGAAAGCCCGGAGCUCAACUCCGGAACUGCCUUUAAGACUGCAUCGCUUGAAUCCAGGAGAGGUGAGUGGAAUUCCGAGUGUAGAGGUGAAAUUCGUAGAUAUUCGGAAGGAACAUCAGUGGCGAAAGCGACUUCCUGGACCAAUACUGACGCUCAUGUGCGAAAAGCGUGGGGAGCAAACAGG